AGUGAACGCUGGCGGCGUGCCUAAUACAUGCAAGUCGAACGGAGUGGCGCACGGGAGAGUAAUGUAUACCUAAUCUCCCCUACAAUAGAGGACAACAGUUAGAAAAGAAUGCUAAUACUCUAUAGUGUAGGAUGAGGCUAUAUUGUAUCAGCUAGUUGGUGCGGGAAUGGCUAACCAAGGCUAUGACGCAUAACUUGCCUCAGAGGAUGAUCACUGACACUGGAACGGAGAUACGGUGCAGAAUCCUACGGGAUGCAGCAGUAGGGAAUAUUGCUCACCGGGUGAAUUCCUGAAGCAGCAACGUCGCGUGGAGGAUUUAAUUUGUCGGAGCGGAAACGCAUUUUGAUAGGGAAGCGGUACCUAACGAAUAAGCAACGGCUAACUCCGUGCCAGCAGCCGCGGUAAUAC
rnacentral:rRNA from 1 species